UUGCGCCUGUGAGGAACCCAGCACAUAUCUUUUUAUGAUUUUACAGGCAAUCGGUAUGUGUACGGUUUUGUAUUGCAAUAUUUGCAAUGUUAAAUGUUUUCU
rnacentral:sRNA from 1 species